GUACGCAGACGAGACGCUGGCGGCAUGCCUAAUAACAUGCAAGUACGAACGCUUAACUUUCACCGGGUGCGUUGCAACCCACCGAAAGUUAAGAGUGGCGGACGGGUGAGUAACACGUGGGUAACCUGCCCAUAAGUGGGGGAUAACAUCCGGAAAACGGAUGCUAAUACCGCAUAUUUCUAAUUGUCUCCUGACGACUGGAAAAAAGGUGGCUUCGGCUACCGCUUAUGGAUGGACCCGCGGCGUAUUAGCUAGUUGGUGAGGUAAUGGCUCACCAAGGCGAUGAUACGUAGCCGACCUGAGAGGGUGAUCGGCCACACUGGGACUGGGACACGGCCCAGACUCCUACGGGAGGCAGCAGUAGGGAAUCUUCCGCAAUGGACGAAAGUCUGACGGAGCAAUGCCGCGUGAGUGAAGAAGGUUUUCGGAUCGUAAAACUCUGUUGUUAGAGAAGAACAAGGAUGAGAGUAACUGCUCAUCCCCUGACGGUAUCUAACCAGAAAGCCACGGCUAACUACGUG
rnacentral:rRNA from 1 species